CCGCUCUGCUGAGUCACAAUGCGCUUGGCACCCGCUCCUCUUCAUCCCUUCCUUCUCUCUCUGUGUACCGCCGUCGCGAAGAAAGUCGGAGAUGCAGUCGCAGCAGCGCCACUACACAGCAUCCUCCACAGCGUCCCCGGAGCUUAGCCGAGCAGGCGUCUCCUCGACGCCGGCGCUCAUUCUCGACUUGGGCAGCCGCACCAUCAAGUCAGGCUUGCACACCGCGGCAACGCCGCACCUCACACCCGCCCUUGUCGGCACCCCAAAAUACCCGCGCUGCCUACUACAGGCAUCGUCGUCGUUCAAUCAGAGUAGCAGCAUCAGCACCAGCUGUUUUGUGGUUGGAAGCGACGCUGCCUCUCGGCGCGGCGUGCUGCGGCUCAGUCGGCCCAUACAGCAUGGAGGGGUCAUCAUGGACUGGGUCGGUGCGCUCCCUCUGUUGCGGCAGAGCAUUCAGAGCGCUCUGGUCCAUCCGUCGUCGUCUCUGGGGGCGCGACAGUCAUUGGAGGAGGGCGAAGAUGUCAUCUACUCACUGGUCGAGAGCCCCUAUGCGUCUCGACCGCAGCGGGCCAGGUUGGCAGAGCUGCUCUUCGAAGACCCCGACCAGGAAGCUGUCGUGAGCGACAGCGGUAAGCAGCAACGCGUGGGUCCUCGUGCGGCCGGUGUGUUCUGCGGCGUAGGCCCGCUGCUAGCCCUGUAUGCCACUGGGCAAACAACUGGUGUCGUUGUCGACGUCGGCGACGGCGCUGUGAGCACUGCAGCGGCGGCCGACGGCUAUGUUCUGCCUCAGUGCCUCCAGCGAGAGGCGGACGGUGCAACGGGGGCAGCCGUUACGUCGUACUUGACGCGCUUGCUGUACCAAAGCGGCGUACUCGGCCCAGCAGCGGCGACGGCAGCUUUCAGGCGAUCAGCGCCGUCAUCGCUCUUGGGCUCCGCAACAAACCGCUUGAGUAGCGGUGCUGGCGCCGGCACCCAGCAAGAACGCGAGCUAGUUUACGCGAUCAAGGAGGCGUGCUGCAGCGUGUCUGCCACGCCGCUCUUCUCAACCAAAUCCUCCCUCGCCGCGGCAGAUGCCAGCAUCGUUGCCACGCCAUCUCUUUCCGAGCUCAACUCUGCGCUGAUUGCCGCUGCUCAGCGCACACAGCAUAGCGGGCCUGGCGGCAGCGGUGCAGCUCACGCCAGCACCCCGUCCUCCCACCUCUUCACGCUCCCUGAUGGCAGCUUUCUCGAAGUCGGCACCGCGGAAGCUGCGCAAGCGUCGGAGGUGCUCUUCUACCCAGUCCUUAUGGGGAGUGAGGGCCGCGGCGUGGUUGACGUGGUGCUGGACGCGGUGGCCGCCGCUCCUGUGGAACUGCAGCCGCAGCUGCUUGGAAACGUUGUCGUGACGGGUGGUGCGACUUGCAGCGCUGGCUUCGGGUACCGUUUCUUCAACGAGAUGCAGCAGCGUAUUCGCGGAAGCGCGGGGUUGUCCACCAACGGCUCCUCGAAUCAGCGCAUCUGCGUGUCCGCCCCAGAGCAGCGCGCUUACGCGGCGUGGAUGGGGGCCAGCUACGUGGCGCAGAUAUCGUCGUUUGCGAGCAGCAUGGUCGUAACGCGCGCGGCCUACGAAGAAGAGGGUGAGGCAGCUCUGGCAAGGAGAGUGUUGACGUAGGCACGGUCAUGGCAAUUACGGCUUCUUUGUGAGGACCAUGUGCAUCAACUCACGAUGAAUGC
rnacentral:misc_RNA from 1 species